AAAGAAUCAAAAGUUCGAAACUUUACGCCCCAGGGAGGGCGUAGCUCAAUUGGCAAAAGUUGAGGGAUUUGCGGCUUAGAUCCCAAGUUCUAGCCCUAUAACUAACAACAAAAAAAACAAAAUAUAUACCCAAUGUGUCCCGAAAGUAAAGUUCGGGAAGAAUGGUUUGUACACAACCUUAUCCCUACCUUGUGAAAUUUGUGAAAUUAGAGA
rnacentral:misc_RNA from 1 species